rnacentral:rRNA from 2 species
AUGGGGUGACUGCGUACCUUUUGUAUAAUGGGUCAGCGACUUAUAUUCUGUAGCAAGGUUAACCGAAUAGGGGAGCCGAAGGGAAACCGAGUCUUAACUGGGCGUUAAGUUGCAGGGUAUAGACCCGAAACCCGGUGAUCUAGCCAUGGGCAGGUUGAAGGUUGGGUAACACUAACUGGAGGACCGAACCGACUAAUGUUGAAAAAUUAGCGGAUGACUUGUGGCUGGGGGUGAAAGGCCAAUCAAACCGGGAGAUAGCUGGUUCUCCCCGAAAGCUAUUUAGGUAGCGCCUCGUGAAUUCAUCUCCGGGGGUAGAGCACUGUUUCGGCAAGGGGGUCAUCCCGACUUACCAACCCGAUGCAAACUGCGAAUACCGGAGAAUGUUAUCACGGGAGACACACGGCGGGUGCUAACGUCCGUCGUGAAGAGGGAAACAACCCAGACCGCCAGCUAAGGUCCCAAAGUCAUGGUUAAGUGGGAAACGAUGUGGGAAGGCCCAGACAGCCAGGAUGUUGGCUUAGAAGCAGCCAUCAUUUAAAGAAAGCGUAAUAGCUCACUGGUCGAGUCGGCCUGCGCGGAAGAUGUAACGGGGCUAAACCAUGCACCGAAGCUGCGGCAGCGAC